GACGAACGCUGGCGGCGUGCUUAACACAUGCAAGUCGAGCGGUAAGGCCCUUUCGGGGGUACACGAGCGGCGAACGGGUGAGUAACACGUGGGUGACCUGCCCUCAGCUCUGGGAUAAGCCUGGGAAACCGGGUCGUAAUACCGGAUAUGACUCCAUGACGCAUGUUGUGGGGUAGGAAAGCCUUGUGCGGCUGAGGAUGGGCCCGCGGCCUAUCAGCUUGUUGGUGGGGUGANGGCCUACCAAGGCGACGACGGGUAGCCGGCCUGAGA
rnacentral:rRNA from 1 species